GAAUUUUAUAUAUAGUGUGUUUUUGAUAUUAGUUUUAGUUAGUAUAAAUGGUAUUAUAUAUUUAGUUGGGAGGAUUGUUAAAUUAUUUAAACUUUAAUUAAUGUGAAAAUAUGGAUUAGUAGAAUUAAUUAAGAUGGAAAAUUUAAUUGAAUAAGAAUUAAUUACCUUAGGGAUAACACACACAGCGUAAUAGUUUUGGAAAGAUCAUAUUUAUAAAAUUGAUUGC
rnacentral:rRNA from 1 species